GUGAGGAAUAUUGGUCAAUGGCCGGGAGGCUGAACCAGCCAAGUCGCGUGAAGGAUGAAGGAUCUAUGGUUUGUAAACUUCUUUUAUACGGGAAUAAAGUGUGGGACGUGUCCCAUUUUGUAUGUACCGUAUGAAUAAGCAUCGGCUAACUCCGUGCCAGCAGCCGCGGUAAUACGGAGGAUGCGAGCGUUAUCCGGAUUUAUUGGGUUUAAAGGGUGCGUAGGUGGUUGUUUAAGUCAGCGGUGAAAGUUUGUGGCUCAACCAUAAAAUUGCCGUUGAAACUGGAUGACUUGAGUAUAUUUGAGGUAGGCGGAAUGCGUGGUGUAGCGGUGAAAUGCAUAGAUAUCACGCAGAACUCCGAUUGCGAAGGCAGCUUACUAAACUAUAACUGACACUGAAGCACGAAAGCGUGGGGAUCAAACAGGAUUAGAAACCCGAGUAGUCC
rnacentral:rRNA from 1 species